CCUGAAACCUGGAGCACUAGGGAGCAGAGAUGUCCAAGCUGCUGCAAAGGAGCCCUGGGCAGAAGCAGUGCUGAGCUGGAGCUCGUAAGCCUGGCCAGAGCCCAAAGUGAGGAGCUGCUCAGGCUCCUGCUGCCUGGAAGUGAGCAAGUGGCUGGCCCUGGAAGAAAUACAGUGUCUGCACCGGGAGCAGCAUGAGCCACUGACUCUUCGUUAGCCAACUCUCCACCUGGCCUGAAGGGCAGGGAGAGGAGCUCGGGUGGUCCUCGAGGAGGAGAUCUACAAAGCCAGUAUUCCUUAAGUGAACAGAGUGGAAUAGCCUUUCCUAGCUCUACGGAGACUGUUAAUCACCUGAUGUGUUCUUAGCCUAAAAAAAACAGGAUUCUGGUAUUCCUGCCUGCACCACAUCUUUCAGCUGCAUUUUAGUGACUGGAUCAGCACUGGUAUUUGGUUGCCUGUGCGUGGUUCUCGCACUACUGCUGACCAAGAACAUGACCAUUCAGCAGCAGCCAGCUACAGAGCACGCAACUCCUAUAGAUUCUGCCACGUGAAGAAACACUCCCCGACUCGGCCCUGCUGCAGCGCAGUGCUGGAGACCGAAGGCUGGGCCGGGUGAGCCGGCUGUUACAGUGACUCGCUCCCGCUUACGGCGCACCGUGCCCUAAAGCGCUAGCAGGAGAUAAUGGCACUCGGCGCAAGGCAUUUCUUCCCUAAACGGAGAAGUAUCCUAUUACACUUACCUGCAAUGGACAGACUUGUCUGAAACCGCUA
rnacentral:lncRNA from 1 species